ACGGGAACUCAUGAACUGCUCCUGUUCCACUGAUGGAAUCUCAUGGAAAUGGGAUCCCUGCAUCCUUCUCUGUUUUCCUGAAUCUCCUAAGCUGACAAUGUCCUCUAUUUUUUUCUUUUUCCCCAAAGGGAGGCCACACAGUAGCCACUGCCCCUUGGGGAAGCAAGUUGCUCCAGAAACCAGAAUAAAUGUCCUCGACUUGUGUGAAAUGCUUUCAAAGAGCAAAAGUGAUCUGUAGGUGUUAAGACUGCAUGCCCCCUUGGAGUUCCCGUCGUGGCUCAGUGGUUAACCAAUCCAACAAGUAUCCAUGAGGAUGCGCGUUCAAUCCCUGGCCUCACUCAGUGGGUUAAGGAUCCAGCAUUACUGUGAGCUGUGGUGUAGGUCAAAGACAUGGCUUGGAUCUGGCAUUGUCGUGGCUAUGGCUGUGGCCGGUGGUUACAAAUUUGAUUCCACCCCUACCCUGGGUUCCUCCAUAUGCCGUGGGUGCAGCCCUAAAAAGACAAAAGCCAAAAACAAAAAAAAAGAAUGCACGCCCCACUCCACUUGCAGGCCUGUGGAGCCGGGAGCAGAGAGGACUCGUGAUCAGUAACAGUAACAAUAGCAGUAACAACUAUCAUGGUAGAAGCUAAGUUAUUGAGCACUUAGGUUUGUUAGGCACUGUUCUAAGGACUUAAACGAAUCCAACUAGUAUCCAUGAGGAUUCAGGUUCUAUCCCUGGCCUGGCUCAACAGGUCAGGGAUCCGGUGUUGCCGUGAGCUGCAGUGUAGGUCACAGAUGUGGCUUGGUUCUGGCAUUGCUGUGGUUCUGGCAUAGGCUGGCAGCUGCAGCUCUGAUUCGACCCCCGGCCUGGGAAUUUCCACAUGUUGUGGGUGCAGCCCUAGAAAGCAAAACAAAACAAAAAACAAACGAACAAAACCAAUGGAACUGGAAGGUGGGAACUGAGAGGAGCUCCACUGGACAGAGCUGAAGCUAGUGCACAGAGAGGUUAAGCUGAUCACACAGCCUGGAUGCAGCAAAGCCAGAGGAAAUUCAGGUCACCGGACUUCAAAACUCCUGAGUCAUCCCCUGAUGACGUGACAGGCACUAGCACUAGAAAGCAGCCUUCCAAUGAGGCAGCAUGUCCAGAAGUUGAGGAAAUAGAGGCUUACAAAAUUUCCAUACUUUCCCAGAGUUGUAGAGUUAGUGACAGGAUAGGCAAUGGGAGCCUGGCUCUAAGGUCAUUUCCGUUUCUCCUCUGCUAUGUAACUUUUCAUUCCAUGAGGCCUUGACCAUAACACAAAGCUUUUCUAAGUGAACCACAUGUGGGAAAGAGACUAUUUUUAAUGCAGAUCUAUGAAAUGUCAAAAAUACAGCACGAGUUAAGUUAUUGGGCAAAGGUAUGAUUGGUGGUAUCUUAGCAGCCGAGGACUUAUGUCAUGACAUUUAAUUUUAGCCUUUGUCCUUUCAAGAAAAUAAGUCACACUCUAUGGAUCCCACCGCAUAGUUUAAAUAUGUGAAAGUUACCGUUUUCCUCUUAAGUGUUCCCCUUUGGAAGAAUCCUUUCCAGGGUCAACGGGCGAUACUCACCACCGUUAUUGCCCUGAUCAUUUUGAAUUGAGAGCUUUAUCUACUCCAUGCAUAUAAAAAUAUGAGGAAGUACUGAUAAAACACAAACCAAAAAAGUGUUAAUAAUUUGCCUGUCAAGUUACUUUCAAAUGGGGGAUGGGGAUGGGGCACAAAUAAGCCUCGAUGAUUCAAUUUGAAAGACUAUUUAAUAGAAAGUAUCAACAUGUAUUGACUCUUCUCUUUUAACCAGACAAUGAUCUGAAAAAUUAACAUCUGUUAAUUAUUGGAAUUUUUACAUCAGCGCUAUCGGAUAAGUGCUAUAAUUACAUAGAUCAUAUUUGCGGUCCUCAACCAGAGCCAUUUUUUCCCUCCCCUGCAGGGGGCAUUGGCAAUGUUAGGAAAUUUUAGGUUGUCACAACUGGGAGUAGGGAUAGGAAGGUGUCACUGGCACCUAGUGGGUAGAGCCUCAGGAGCGCUGCUAAACAUCCUACACAGCACAGGACAGUCUUCAAUAACAAAGAAUUAUCCAGCCCCAAAUGUCGACAGUGCCAAGGCUGAGAUACCUUGCAACAGACGAAAUGUAGAAAAUCUGAAUAAUCCAAUCAACAUUCCAUAAAGUUAAUCUACAUUCAAAAUCCCCCCUACUUUUUUCCCUCUCCAAAUAAAAAGGUAGUAAGGUUUUAAGACAAGUAUUAAAAUUUUAAGACAAGUAUUAAAAUUUUUUCUAACUCAUGCUCUUAGGCUAAUAAAUCUUGAUCCCUAAAUUACACAAGGGUAUUUCCAAAAAGAAUAUUAUCAACCGAUAUACCUAAUGAAUUAUGAUGUGAAAAUCUUAAAGAAAUUAUGGCACAUUAAAUCCAACAAAUACAAAUGAAUACAACCUGACCAAGUAGAGUUUGUCUCAAAAAUUCAAGGAUGGUUCAACAUCAGAAAAUUAGUUAAUGCAAUAUAUCACAUCAAAAGAUUACAAGAGAGAAACUAUAAAUAGAUACAGAGAAAUAUUUUUAAAAACGUCAAUUCUCAUAUUUGAAAAAUAAAAUUUUAAAUGUUAAGAAUAUAGGAAAUUAUUUAAGUUGACAUCAACUAAAAUCAUUUAGCAAAAAAACAUGCAUAAUGAUGACCUUUAGAGGCAUUCAAAUUAAUGAAAUAAGAAUGUUGAAAGUCAUCAUUUAUAUUUAGUACUAGAAGU
rnacentral:lncRNA from 1 species